rnacentral:rRNA from 1 species
UAGAGUUUGAUCCUGGCUCAGAACGAACGCUGGCGGCAGGCUUAACACAUGCAAGUCGAGCGCCCCGCAAGGGGAGCGGCAGACGGGUGAGUAACGCGUGGGAACGUACCUUUUGCUACGGAAUAACUCAGGGAAACUUGUGCUAAUACCGUAUGUGCCCUUCGGGGGAAAGAUUUAUCGGCAAAGGAUCGGCCCGCGUUGGAUUAGCUAGUUGGUGAGGUAAAGGCUCACCAAGGCGACGAUCCAUAGCUGGUCUGAGAGGAUGAUCAGCCACACUGGGACUGAGACACGGCCCAGACUCCUACGGGAGGCAGCAGUGGGGAAUAUUGGACAAUGGGCGCAAGCCUGAUCCAGCCAUGCCGCGUGAGUGAUGAAGGCCCUAGGGUUGUAAAGCUCUUUCACCGGUGAAGAUAAUGACGGUAACCGGAGAAGAAGCCCCGGCUAACUUCGUGCCAGCAGCCCCGGUCAA